CCUACGUGUGGCAGCAGUGAGGAAUAUUGGUCAAUGGACGCACGUCUGAACCAGCCAUGCCGCGUGCAGGAAGACGGCUCUAUGAGUUGUAAACUGCUUUUGUACGAGGGUAAACGCAGAUACGCGUAUCUGUCUGAAAGUAUCCUACGAAUACGGAUCGGCUAACUCCGUGCCAGCAGCCGCGGUAAUACGGAGGAUUCAAGCGUUAUCCGGAUGUAUUGGGUUUAAAGGGUGUGUAGGCGGUCGGCUAAGUUAGAGGGGAAAUCCCGAGGCUCAACUUGGGAAUUGCCUCUGAAACUGUACGGCUAGAGAGUAGUUGCGGUAGGCGGAAUGUAUGGUGUAGCGGUGAAAUGCUUAGAGAUCAUGCAGAACACCGAUUGCGAAGGCAGCUUACCAGGCUACUUCUGACGUUGAGGCACGAAAGCGUGGGGAGCAAACAGGAUUAGAUACCCGAGUAGUC
rnacentral:rRNA from 1 species